rnacentral:lncRNA from 10 species
CAUGAUUGUGUGUUGGCCUAUCAGUUGAUGGGCACUUAGGUUGAUUCUAUGUCUUUGCAAUUGUGAAUUGUGCUGUAAUAAACAUAUGCAUGCAAGUGUUUUUUUGAUUUAGUGACUGUUUUUGGGAGGUAGAUACCCAGUAGUGGAAUUUCUGGGUAGAAUGGUAGAUCUACUUUUAGUUCUUUGACAAAUAUCCACAUCUUUUUCCACAGAGGUUGUGCUAAUUUACAAUCCCACCAGCUGCGUAUAAGCGUUCCAUUUUCACUACAUCCACACCAACAUCUAUUGCUUUUUGACUUUUAAAAAAUAGCCGUUCUGACUAGGAUAAAGUGGUGCCUCAUUGUGGUUCUAAUUUGUAUUUCCCUGAUUAGUGAUGUUGAGCAUUUUUUCAUCUGUCUGGUGGCUUUCUGUGUGUCUUAUUUUGAGAAAUGUGUAUUCAUUCAACUCAAGGAUUUUAUCCUUGCUUUUGUUUCUUCCUGGAAUGUUCUUACUUCACUUACCUGGGUCUCUCCUCUCAUUCAGGUCUCAAUGCCAAGGUCUUCCCUGAGGACCUGAUCUAGUUUCUCUUUCCCUAUUGAGAUGGAGCAGGAGCCCCCUUUAUUAGGGGCCUGCAGACCCCAAACAUGGAAAUCAAGGAGAAUCAUGAUUGCCUUCAAGGGAAGUUCCAGGCACCUAGCUAGCUCCAGAAGUCAAUAAGUAACUUAUUAAAAAAGAAGGCAAUAGUAGCCUAAAGGACACCUGAGGAAAUUAGAGUCCUAGGGAUGUUUGUUUUUCCUAAAGAAUCCAAGGAGAACAUCUUAACCUGUACUUCUGAGUUGUCUUUCAGAAACUCAGACCCCCACUGGGGACCCACACUGAAGGGAUCAGCCAAUAUGCAGACCUCAGAUACGCUCAGCGUGUUCCAAGACGCAGGCCCCACCCCCGGAGGUGAAUGUGUGGAGAUAACCAGUUACCACGGGGCUCUCUAGAAGGGGUCCAGCACACAGGCAGUUGGCAGAACCCGGGAAGUACCAGCUAUUGAAAUGAACUCAAACUGCCUUAUCUAAAGACUGUGAAAAAAGAAAUGGUUCGGGUACAAAGCUUACUGCCAAGGAGUGCUCUGCCACCUCUGCCUGACAGGGACAGAAGGGAUCUUGUUGGCAACACAUUCCCAGGGUUGGAAGGGCCCCUGCGGAGCUUCAUGGCACAGGCAGAACAGAUGCUGAGAUCACUCAUGUGGAUGAGAGACCUGGCUGCCCACUCACACCACCUGGCGAGCUUGAGAUCAGCAUCUAAAACGCCCCAGGAGAACUGGGCACUGGUUCUGACAAGUUAAGAAGGCAAAAGUCUGCUGCUCUGGGGUGACGGGUGUAACUGGAGUGAGUGUUGUGAACAAACAGAGAUAACGAAUUUUUCAAACAUUUUUUACCAUAGUCAGAUUUAAUCUCCUAUCUCUAAGUCUAUGGUCUUUCUUCUUCCCUCUAAAAUGUGUUAUUUCAUGGGGAGUUUUCUGAGAUACAGGCCAAGGGCAAAUUCUGGUACAGCUCAUCCACUCUGCCUCUCCACUGCUCUAGGAGCAGGCAGGAUUUGGUAGAGGUUGGGGAUGAAUCCCAGAGCUCAGCCCUGAGAGUCUGCACCCUGCAGACACAUCCUGGGGAGGUCACCACCCUGACCCUCUCUCUGGGUGGAGCAAACAGGCCAAGGAGACAAUGGUUCCAAAGGCGUUAGGACACAGCAGCCACGGGGGACUAGGCCUAGGAGCUCAGCAGCAGGGGACAGGGAAGGGCCAUGAGUCUUUUGCUUUGGGAAAUAGUUAGGUCUGAGACUUUUGGUGAUGGGCACAGGCAGCCUAUGCAAUCUUGUGCUGGAAGAGGUGCUUCUAAUCACAAAAAGGGCAAUAAGAUAGUUGCUUUUUGCCUGGGGAGGACAGGUGACAAGGUGAAGGUCACAUGCAAGGUCGUGGCAUUUUCCCAUAUGUGGGGAUGCUGAAUGCCAACAUCUCUAUUUCCCACCUUUCUACAUCCAGAUAAAUAAUGAAGCAUUUUCUGUAUGGAGGGCAGAGCCUGGUCUAUGCAGCUCUUUCUAUCAGGCAUGGAGACUUGCAGGCCCCUGGCUGAUCUUCUCCACCCAGCCAGUUGUUCCUGGAUUCAGUCAGGGCAGGCCUAGACUCCCCUUUCUGCUGGGUUGUGAGAACUGCAGUCUUUAGCAUGUGAGUCUUCGCAGGAGCAAAGGCAUGGGCCAAGGGUUUAAUAUUAUCACUUAAAACCAGAGGUGAAACUGGGUUGGGGCUAAGUCAGAACGAACAAAAAAGGAGCUACUCUUAAGACUUGCAGAGAAAUAGUGACAAUGACUCAUUUUAAACUAGAACCCAAUGUGGUAAUGAGCUCACAUUUGAGCAUUCGACAGUGCCUAUACAUUCUCCAAUGCAGGUGUCAUUAAGGGAGAUGUGUCUGGCAGCAGCAAGAGUAGUUUUAAUUGAGAAGUGGUUUCACACAGAUAUAUAGGGAUGGAAAUGGAUAUAUCUACAUACAUUUAGAUAUAUAGACAUCUAUGCAUAGAUCUGGAUCUAUAUCCAUGUAUCGACAGAUUCUGUACUAUUCACUCCUUUCUUCCUUCGCUUCACAGUCAUGGUUGAGUCUAAAAGAUAUUAAGACCAUCAGUUGAAAAGUAAAGCUCAUUUUAAACUAGUUAUUCAACUUUAUGUACUCCAUGUACCUACAGUCAGAGUAUUUUUUAAUUUCUGAUUUUACUCAGCAACUCAAAGGGAGCCUCUUCUUUCCUUCUUGUUUGUCUUUCUUCACCCCUUAAGUACAGGACCUUCAUUGGUCCCACUGGAAAUGACCCUGACCCCAGCCUUGGUUUGUGACUGACUGAAAUUCCUGUGGCCUUCUCAAAGCUGAGGUCUUCCAUUUGCACUGAUUCAUGGAUACUCAUGGCAUUGUGAGUCUUUCGCGAAUCUGCCAGGAUACAUCAUGUUAUCGGGUGCAGGUGUGUGUAAAGAUCUGACCCCUGAACACAUCUUUUGUGAACUAACAGAGAAACAGAUGCUAGUGGAUGUGUGUGUGUCAUCCACACCUAGGGAGACAACAGGGCUUCCAAACCCCUAGAGCUGAUCCCUGGCAGGGCUCAAACUGCAGGGGAGAUGCUGUGGGGGUCUGUGGUUACUUUUGUGCUGAAGACCUUCUUCUUCAGUGGUGCCUCUUCAUUUGCAAUUGUAAUUAUUUCUCUGGAAACUAGGAACCUAGGUUUUUGUGAAGUGAUAAAACUAAUUAGCCACAACAAAUCCUGUCUGUGCUUAGUUUGCUCAGGACUACACAGUGUAUAUUAGUUUGCCUUUUGGUAGGAGCCUCUUUGCUGUGGCAUGACAGUGCUGCAGUCCCCUGGGGCUGCUUCAACCCCCACCAGAAAGGAAAAUGAGAGAAACAAUGCAUUCGAGGCACAAGCCUGCUACAAAUCACCCAUUAAUUACACACAGAGCUGUGCGCCAGCCAAAGGGCUUUGUCGGGCUUGCACCUUGAAGCCAAUAGCAGAAUUCUAGGUGCUGCAAUUGGGAAUAAGGAGCUGUGCUCGACAUACAUGACCAUUGGGCACAGUCUAGGGCAAGGAGGAAUAAUUCAAGGCCACGCCAAAACCCAGGAGGAAGAACAUGGCCACACAACCCAUCUGCUUUGACCAGUCUUGCCUUCACGUGAGGUCAUUGGAAAGAAACCACCUGCACAGGUGUAAACUCCUGGGUGCUUUUGCCUAAGGCAGUUUCCAGGGGCAAGAGAAAUGCAACAAGAAUAAAGGUGACUCAUAAAAUGGAUCCUGCCAUGUAAAUUCGAAGCAGAAAGUGUAUUUUAAUUAGACUUGGUUGCUGCUUUCACCCGAUUUCCAAGUAUUAAAUUUUCUCUUUCAUUUCCUGCGUGAGUAAUCCUGGCCCUGAUUAAUUGAAAACACUAGGUCCUUGCUACUCCCACACAUUCCCCAUGGAGGGGACUGCGCUUCCGUGACAAAUGGUCAUGGAAUGUGCUCCAUUAUCAUUCCUUGACAUAGCAAAUAAAGAGGGGAAAUCAUUUAUUCCCAGCAUUGGCAAGCAGCCUUCGGGGACUGCACUGGCCAGCUCUGACACCCACUGAAUGAUGGUGGCGGCACUGAUUUGCGUUACCCGCAGACAGAACCCGUGCCCUCUCACUCCAUUAGCCAAGUCAGAAACAUCAAGCUUUUACGGAAUCCAUUCCAGCUGAAACAACAGUCUCCUUUAUCAUUGUAAUAAACACACCCAGGGACAGAGGAUAGCUGCUCAGGAAUUUCUGGGUAAGGUGAAUCCUACUGAACAAGAAAAGCUCUCCAAAGAAGUGGCCGGCUUUGGAGCCCCCUGGGUGAAGUUGAGGAAGGAAGACCUGCCCACAGCCCCAGUUCCCUGGAAGUCUGUGAAUAGCAAGAAAUGGGGCAGGCUGGGCUGUGCUUGCUGUCAUCUCUGGGUGGGGGGAGAUGGAGGCCUGGGCAGGAGUCCUAAGAAUGCUGGGUGUCCAUGGCUGCCUAGUCGCUGGGGUCUCUCCAGCAGAGGACGGUGUGGCUGUGCACCUUGUCCAAUGCCAGGAAGCCAGCAGCCGGGGGUGGAACUCGGUAUUCUGCAGGGAUGUUGUGACUGACACAGUAAUUAUGGGUUUUUGCAUUGUUUAUGCCUCUCUGGGAGCAGAGCCAAAUGCUAUGAGCCGGUGGCUGCAAGGCACUCAGUAGAUUUCAUGACAGAGUAUCAUUGUAUUUACUCUUUCAGGCCUCCCGGACUAUUGGCGCCUCAUGAAGCUUUAACACUAUUUGCUGUUCUCAUAAUUAAAUCACUGACUAAAUAAAAAAAAAAAACAAUAAAAGAAAUACCAAAUCAUUCUAAACAGUGAUCCAACAUGGCUUGGGUGCAUUCACAUAAAAGCAACUUUCUGUCAUUUUACAUUUUUUUCUGCUCUGAUCUGGGCUAUGUGGGUGCUUUGAUGCUGGGCUGGAAUCAGGCAGCUGUGUCCUGCCCUGUCCGCCUGGCCUGCAGCUGAGGGCUGGAGCCCCCUGCACUGCCCCUCCCCACCCCCUGCAGACCCCAGGAGGAGGGAGGGAGCAAACUUUGCCAGUACCCAGGGUGGAAAAACUCUCUCUGCUGUAAACUAAAAAUAAAAUCCUAAGCCUCAUCAACUAAACAGACAUGCCUUGUGGUGAAGGGGACCCAGAGAAGUUGAGUUCCUGCCAUGACAGGAUGGGCGGUCAGACAUGCCUCUUUAUACCCCUCUCCUUUCUGGUUCAGACACAGCAAGUGACCAGCGUUCAUGUUAAAAUAGAGAUCGUAAGACUGGCAGAAUGGACUUUUGUGGCAAUAGAUACCAAAUUGUAACCUGGACCUAAGAUCCUGCCCCACACUCCCACACUUAAAGGAGAAACUGUGCUCUGUCACAGGUGUUUCUUUUCAAAACUCCAGCAGCUGAGCAAGCACUGGCCUGGAGAUAAGCAAUGUUAAAACAGUUACAAGUUACCCAGCUCACAGACGCAGGCUAACUGACCCCUGUCCCACCAGCCAUAACUGCAGCCUGUACUAGAUAAGAGGCUGAUUUCAGUAACUUUCUCCCGAUCAGAGACUGCUGACCAUGGACUAGUUCUGGCUGGUUUUUGGAAGUUCUACAGUCAUGUGCCUUGUGUUCUGAAAAGGCCUUUGGAUGGGCUAAUACAGUUAAAUGUUGUCUCAUCCCCAAAGUGAAUAUGCAUCAUAUAUAGUCACAUGCAUAUAUCAGGACCACCUUCAUGAAUAUUCAUGGAUUCUCCUGCAAUCUGUUGAAUAUGUAUGUUUGGCCAACCUGCUCAGCAUAGAGCUCCUGUCCCAAACCCCUUCUCUUUCAGAGUGCCUGUCUCUGGUCUUGGCCAAAGGCUAUGCUUCCCAGCCUGCGGACAGCCACCUUGUAGGCUGUACCCUUUUAUAAGAAAGCCUCCUUUUCUAAUUUAUACAUCUUGUGAUUUUUAAGUUAACACUGCUCAACUCUGAGCUGUUGGGAGAAUAGGAGGUACCCUUGUCUAUUUUCAGCCCACAAACAUUUUUCCUCCUCUAGAUGCAUUUGCUCAGAACUGGAUCAAAAUUGUGUGUGUGUAUGUGUGUGUGUAUUUGUAUAUAUUUGUGUGUGGUGUGUGUGCACAUGCAUGUAGAUAUUUUCCUCUUCAAUUUCACAAAGUACACACGUAUACUGAAAUAAACUCCUUCUGGAUCUGCUGAGUGUGAAAUUGAUGAGACUCCAGCCUGUCUCACUCUCACUUUCCCCCAGGAGUGCCUGCUCUGCGGGUGCCUGGGCUGAAGCAGGAUGGGCUCUGGGUGACUCCUCUACUGGGGAGGUGGGUAGGGGAAAGCUGGCCAGGCUUGCUGCGUGCUGGGGUCCAGGCAGACAGAGCUCCCCUGGGAAGUUUUCUUCAGGCAGGAAAACUCACCCUGUGGGGCCUUCACCUCCCUUUAGCCUAAAACAUAUAGAUAUUAAAUUUUCACUUAUUUUUAUUUGUGGAGUACAUGUGUAAUUAUGUGCAUAGACUUCAUAGUGGUCAAGUCAGGGCUUUUAGGGUAUCUGUUACCUGAAUAACAUACAUUGUACCCAUUAACUGAUUUUUCAUCAUCCUUACCCCUCCCACCUGGCACCCUUCCCAGUCCCCUUCUCUCUCAUUCCAUUCUCUAUGUCCACAUGAACACAUUUAUCAUCCACUUAUGAGUGAGAACAUGCGAUAUUUGUCUUUCUGUGAAAUAAUUUUAACAUGGAAGCAAUGUCUUUUGUUUUACCGUUAAGGCUAGGACGUUAUUGCAGAUUCCCCCAGUGUCUUAAAUUUACACCACAGAGUAAAUGACCCAUUAGAACCUCUCCUGAAAAAGCCUUUGAUUGUAGUAGAAGCAAUGAUGAUGAUGAUAAUGAUGACGACGAUGAUGGCGAUGAUGAUGUUGACGAUGAUGAUGAUGAUGAUGACGAUGAUGAUGAUGAUGAUGAUGACAAUGAUGAUCGUCGCAAAUGCUUCCAUAGCUCUAGCUGUGUGCUGGGCGCUGUUCUAAGUGUGUAAAUAAAAGUGGUGUAUAUAAGAGUUAAUUCACAAAAUACACUAAUGCCUUGUGGUCAUUAAAGCCCAGAGAGGUCAGUAGCAGUACCAAGACUUGAAUUUGCAUAUGUCUUUAACCUCUAUACAAUGCAAGGCAUAAAUCCGCCUGAUAGCUAGAAUCAGGCUUGGGGUUGUCGGUGCGGGGGAGUUUCCCAACAAACUCUUCAGAUCCUCAGGUUGGUGGAAGUUGGAUUCUGUGGAAAUGGUGGCGGAAGCAGCAGGAGAUGGGGUGAUGUGGCUGCUUAUUACUGGCAAUAUUUAGGCCAGAAUUAGCAGUAAUUUUUUCUUCAAUUAGCAAAUAUUGGACACUUAGAAAACUGUCUUAGAAAAUCAUGUGUUAAAAUCAAAUAUUUUAAUCCAGCUCUUUUAACAGAUUACAUGGCAAAGAUAAUUAGGCUGCUGGGAACAGGAUAUAGUGUUUAAUUAAUGCAUUAAUUUUGAAAGCGAAAUUCGAUUGUUAAAGAAAAUACAAUAAAGGAUUGAAACAUGAAAUUAGCAUAGGAGCAUUACCCAUUUCUUCAAGCAGCUUACUGGGCAUGAUCUUUUUCCUGCUGUUUCCCGGGGGAGGUUAAGUAGGAAAGUAGGGUCAUUUGUGUCUUGCAGGAGAAUGAAACUCUGCCAUCCUGUUUGUGGGGGUGGAGGUGGAGACAUUAAAAAGACCCAGCCUUUAUACUGUGCCCCCAAAUGCAAACCCACAUGAACUAUCUGGCAGGUUCCUAGGUGCUAAGUGCACUUCCUGGUCUUUCAUGUCACUAGAAGAGACAUGGGGCUCGACUUACAGAGAUGACAACACACUUGCUUAAAGCCUGAAGGGUAUCACUGCCCCUGCCUGCAGCAAAACGUCAGCCCCGGCCCAGUUCCUCUCUCAUCACCACUCCUGCCCCUUUCUUUUUCUUUUUAAUUGACACAUAAUCAUUGUACACAAUUAUGGGGUUAAAUAUUAUGUUUCAGGGCAUACAUAUGUUGUGCAAUGAUCAAAUUUAAUGAGAUAUCUGGAGCAAUAUUACUAGAAGAAGGAUGAGGUUGUUUUAGGAUACAAAAUCAAUGUACACAAAUUCAUAUGGAACACAAAAAGAGCCCUCAUAGCCAAAGCAAGACUAAGUAAAAACAACACAUCUGGAGGCAUCACAUUACCUGAUUUCAAACUAUACUACAAGGCUAUAGUGACCAAAACAGCAUGGCAUUGGUAUAAAAACAGCCACACAGACCAAUGGAACAGAAUAGAGAACCCAGAAAUAAAGUCAAAUACUUACAGACAACUGAUCUUCCAUAAAGCAAACAAAAACAAAGUGGGGAAAAGAUGCCCUAUUCAACAAGUGGAGCUGCGAUAAUAGGUAAGCCACAUGUAGAAGAAUAAAACUGGAUCCUCAUCUCUCACCUUAUACAAAAAUCAACUCAAGAUGGAUCAAAGACUUAAACCUAAGGUGUGGAACCAUAAAAAUUCUAGAAGAUAACAUCAGAUAAUCUCUCCUAAACAUUGGCUUAUAACCAAGAACCGAAAAGCAAAGGCAACAUAAACAAAAAUAGAUAAAUGGGACCUAAUCAAACCAAAAAGCUUCUGCACAGCAAAACAAAUAAUCAGCAGAGUAAAUGGACAACCCACAGAGGGGGAGAAAAUAUUUGCAAACUAUGCUUUUGACAAAGGACUAAUAUCCAGAAUCUACAAGGUACUCAAACAGAUCAGCAAGAAAAAGACAAAUAAUCCCAUCAAAAAGUGAACAAAGGAAAUAAAUAAACCAUUCUCAAAAGAAUACAUGAAAACAGCCAACAAACAUAUAGAAAAUGCUCAACAUCACUAAUUAUCAGGGAAAUGCAAAUUAACAUCACAAUGAGAUACCCUUUACUCCAGCUACAAUGGCCAUAAUUAAAAAAUCAAAAACAAUAAAUAGUGUCAAAGAUGUGGUGAAUAGAGAAGGCUUUUACACUGCUGGUGGGAAUUUAUACUAAUACAACCACUUGUUCUAGCCCAUUACCUGUCAUCCUCCACCCUCUUCUUCCCUUCCACCCUCCAACCUUUUCUUCCCCAUUCACCCCUCACCUCCUCCAUUUUUCUAGCCUCUUCUUCCCCUCCAACCUGCUUCCCCUCCACCAUCCUUCCCUUCCACCCUCCUUCCCCUCCACCUCUUUCCCCUCCACCCUUCUUCCCCUCCACUAUCCUUCCCCUCCUUUCUCUCCACCAUCCUUCCCUUCCACCCUCCUUCCCCUCCAGCUCCUUCCCCUGCACCCUUCUUCCCCUCUACCUUUCUUUCUCCCUUCCCUCCCAUCCUCUUUCCCCUCCAUCCUUCUUCCCCUCCACCCUCCUUCUCCUUCUUCCCCUCUACCCAUCUUCCACUCCUUC